rnacentral:miRNA from 1 species
UGAGGCAGGAGAAUCGCUUGAACCCAGGAGGUGGAGGUUGCAGUGAGCUGAGAUUGCACCACUGUACUCCGGCCUGGAUGACAGAGAGUCCAUCUCAAAAAAAAGACAA